UAAGAGGAAAAUCCGUCGACUUUAAAAAUCGUGAGGGUUCAAGNCCCUU
rnacentral:tRNA from 1 species